GAUGAAGAACGUAGCGAAAUGCGAUAACUAGUGUGAAUUGCAGAUUUCAGUGAAUCAUCGAAUCUUUGAACGCACAUUGCGCCCCCUGGUAUUCCGGGGGGCAUGCCUGUCCGAGCGUCAUUACAACCCUCAAGCUCAGCUUGGUGUUGGGCCCCGCCGCCCCGGCGGGCCCUAAAGUCAGUGGCGGUGCCGUCCGGCUCCGAGCGUAGUAAUUCUUCUCGCUCUGGAGGUCCGGUCGUGUGCUCGCCAGCAACCCCCAAUUUUUUUCAGGUUGACCUCGGAUCAGGUAGGGAUACCCGCUGAACUUAAGCAUAUCAAUAAGCGGAGGA
rnacentral:misc_RNA from 1 species